UUCCGGUUGAUCCUGCCAGAUCCGACUGCUAUCCGGGUAAGACUAAGCCAUGCGAGUCGAAUGGGAAGCUAAACUUCCAUGGCGUACUGCUCAGUAACAAGUGAUUAACUUACCCUUCAGUGGGGCACAACCUCGGGAAACUGAGGCUAAUUCCCCAUAGUUGAAAAGGCCUGGAAUGGUUUUUCAUCGAAAGGUUAUAACAAAUGCGUUAUAUUCGCUGAAGGAUAGGAUUGCUCCCGAUUAUGGUUGUUGGCGAGGUAAUGGCUCACCAAGCCUAUUAUCGGUAAGGGCCGUGAGAGCGGGAGCCCUGAGAUGGGUACUGAGACAAGGACCCAGGCCUUACGAGGCGCAGCAGGCGCGAAAACUUAACCAUGCACGAAAGUGUGAUUAGGUUACCCGGAGUGCUAAAGGUAGAACUUUUAGCUGUUAUAGAGUGUAGAUAACUCUAUGAGAAAGGAGAGGGCAAGGCUGGUGCCAGCCGCCGCGGUAACACCAGCUCUUCAAGUGGUCGGGACUAUUAUUGGGCUUAAAGUGUCCGUAGCCGGUUUGGUAAGUCCCUGGUUAAAGCUGGAAGCUUAACUUUCAGUUCGCUAGGGAAACUACCUUACUAGAGGGCGGGAAAGGUGUGAGGUACUCCAGGGGUAGCGGUGAAAUGCGAUAAUCCUUGGGGGACCACCAGUGGCGAAGGCGUCAGACUGGAACGCGCCUGACGGUGAGGGACGAAAGCCAGGGGAGCGAACGGGAUUAGAUACCCCGGUAGUCCUGGCUGUAAACGAUGCGCGCUAGGUGUUGGUAGGGCUAUGAGCUAUAUCAGUGCCGUAGAGAAAUCGUUAAGCGUGCCGCCUGGGAAGUACGCUCGCAAGAGUGAAACUUAAAGGAAUUGGCGGGGGAGCACCACAAGGGGUGAAGCCUGCGGUUCAAUUGGGAUUCAACCCCGGGAAUCACUAAUGC
rnacentral:rRNA from 1 species